rnacentral:misc_RNA from 1 species
GAUGAAGAACGUAGCGAAAUGCGAUAAGUAAUGUGAAUUGCAGAAUUCAGUGAAUCAUCGAAUCUUUGAACGCACAUUGCGCCCGCCAGUAUUGUGGCGGGCAUGCCUGUUCGAGCGUCAUUUCAACCAUCAAGCCCCCGGCUUGUGUUGGGGACCUGCGGCUGCCGCAGGCCCUGAAAAGCAGUGGCGGGCUCGCUGUCACACCGAGCGUAGUAGCAUACAUCUCGCUCUGGGCGUGCUGCGGGUUCCGGCCGUUAAACCACCUUCAUAACCCAAGGUUGACCUCGGAUCAGGUAGGAAGACCCGCUGAACUUAAGCAUAUCAAUAAGCGGAGGA